AUUGAACGCUGGCGGCAGGCCUAACACAUGCAAGUCGAACGAGUGGCGGACGGGUGAGUAAUGUCUGGGAAACUGCCCGAUGGAGGGGGAUAACUACUGGAAACGGUAGCUAAUACCGCAUACCAUCGGAUGUGCCCAGAUGGGAGUAGCUUGUAGGUGAGGUAACGGCUCACCUAGGCGACGAUCCCUAGCUGGUCUGAGAGGAUGACCAGGCACACUGGAACUGAGACACGGACCAGACUCCUGCGGGAGGCAGAGGGUGGGAAGAUUGCACAAGGGGCGCAAGCCGGAGGCAGCGAUGCCGCGUGUAUGAAGGAGGCCUUCGUGUUGUAAAGUACUUUCAGCGGGGAGGCGUUACCCGCAGAAGAAGCACCGGCUAACUCCGUGCCAGCAGCCGCGGUAAUAC
rnacentral:rRNA from 1 species